rnacentral:rRNA from 1 species
CCUACGGGUGGCAGCAGUGAGGAAUAUUGGUCAAUGGACGAGAGUCUGAACCAGCCAAGUAGCGUGAAGGAUGACUGCCCUAUGGGUUGUAAACUUCUUUUAUAUGGGAAUAAAAUGUUCCACGUGUGGGAUUUUGUAUGUACCAUAUGAAUAAGGAUCGGCUAACUCCGUGCCAGCAGCCGCGGUAAUACGGAGGAACCGAGCGUUAUCCGGAUUUAUUGGGUUUAAAGGGAGCGUAGGUGGAUUUUUAAGUCAGUUGUGAAAGUUUGCGGCUCAACCGUAAAAUUGCAGUUGAAACUGGCAGUCUUGAGUACAGUAGAGGUGGGCGGAAUUCGUGGUGUAGCGGUGAAAUGCUUAGAUAUCACGAAGAACUCCGAUUGCGAAGGCAGUUCACUGGACUGCAACUGACACUGAGGCUCGAAAGUGUGGGUAUCAAACAGGAUUAGAUACCCCAGUAGUC